AUGGGCUGUGAACACUGCCUUGCUUUUAGUUUUCUGCAAAGGACGGUUGUUAGUUCCCCCAAGGCGGGCCCCAAUUCUAGGUCCCCUUCGGUCCCCCAGGCUUCCCUGGAGGGACUGUUGCCAGGGGUGGACUUAGCAGCGCCCCCAACCGGCUCAGGCCGGCCCGGCCCCGCCCCUCCCUCUGACUCACUAGGGGCGGCUUCUAGCCGCUCACGUCGGGGGGAGGGGGGAGGGGAGGGAGAGAUGGGAAAGGAAGGGGAGGGGAGGAGGGAAGGGGGAGGAGGGAGGGGGGAGAGAAGAGAGGAGGGGGGAGAGAAGGGGAGGGGAGGAAAGGGUGGCAGACACUGUGGCAGACACUGUGGUCCAAGUAACACAGCGGAGCGUAGGCAGAUAGGGCACAAGGAGGCUCCAGCAAGUUGUCACUUGCCAGAGGAAGCGCAGCUAGUAAGUAGCCAAACUGUCUCUUUCCAUUUUUCCAGAUUAUCUGCCAGCCUCUGGUUUUCAUGGGAUCACUCAGGCGCCAGCUAGAGUUUAAUUUAUCUUGUUCUGGUCCAGAAUUUUUUUUUUUUGUCUUUUUGCUAUUUGUUUGGGUCGCUCCCAGGGCAUAUGGAGGUCCCCAGGCUAGGAACUGUAGCCCCCGGCCUACGCCAGAGUCACAGCAACGCAGGAUCCAAGCCGAGUCUGCGACCUAACACCACAGCUCACGGCAACGCCGGAUCGUUAACCCACUGAGCAAGAGCAGAGACCGAACCCGCAACCUCAUGGUUCCUAGUCGGAUUCGUUAACCACUGCGCCACGACGGGAACUCCCAGAAAUUUUUUUUUCUUUUUUAGGGUGGCACCUGUGGCAUAUGGAAGUUCCUAGGCUAGAGGUCAAAUUGGAUCUGUAGCUGCCAGCCUACACCACAGCAACGCAGGAUCCAAGCUACAUCUGCCACCUACACCACAGCUCAAGGCAACACCAGGUCCCUGACCCAACCCACAUCCUCAUGGAUACUAGUCGUUUCCGCUGAGCCAGGAGGGGAACCCCUGGUCCAGAAAUUUUAACGCAGGGGAUUGAUUUACUUCCACUGCCCUUCUCCCCCCCCCCCCCCCACCGCCAGGUGUGGCCUGGACCCUGAGGGCUGAGCCUUAUCUCUAACUAGCCUGUUGACCAGCCGUGGGCAAGGCCAGGUCUGUGUUCAGGGAAGGUGGUCCAGGGUCCUGGGCUGGGGGCCCCCUCACUUUCUGCUGGAGCACACAGACCAUGCUGCGUCCUCUGGCAAGGGUUCAGGAGGAAAUGGAAGCUUCCUUUGCUCUGCUCCCUGCUCCCUGUGUGAUCAACGGCAAGUCACUUGUGCUCUCAGGGCCUUGUCCUCCUCCUCCUUGUCCAGAAAGCCAGGGAACCAGUGGGACCAGGCUAGCUUUAGAGCCUCAGGGCCUUACGAUGAGGUGGAGGCAAGAUGGCCCUGGAGUGAACCAGAACCAGGUUCAUUUUUGUCGCUGUCCUGCAGAGCACCCAGGACCAAGAUGGUGUGACAGUCACGUUC
rnacentral:lncRNA from 1 species